rnacentral:rRNA from 1 species
UACGUAGGGUGCGAGCGUUAAUCGGAAUUACUGGGCGUAAAGCGUGCGCAGGCGGCUUGCCAAGUCAGAUGUGAAAGCCCCGGGCUACAACCCGGGAAUGGCGUUUGAAACUGGCAGACUAGAGUCCGGAAGAGGCGAGUGGAAUUCCUGGUGUAGCGGUGAAAUGCGCAGAUAUCAGGAGGAACACCAGUGGCGAAGGCGGUCUCGUGGGCC